rnacentral:misc_RNA from 1 species
UCGAGUGAAGGGCUCCGGCCCGACCUCCAACCCCAUGUAAUUCGACCCUGUUGCCUCGGGGGUGACCCGGCCUUCGGGCGGGGUGCCCCCGGUGGACCACUCAACUCUGCAUCUUUGCGUCUGGAUAUACAUGAAAAUGAAUCA